CAUCCGGGCGCUCCGAGGACACGAAGAACUCUACGCCGUUCUUCUCCUCCUGCCGCAGCCGCCAGUCAAUCAAUCCGUCAAUCAAUGAAAGUCUGUGUCAAUAAGGAGAGGCGUGCGUCCUCACAUCGACAGCGUUGAUGUGGACGAGGCCGACAGGAACUCCCAGCGCCGCCGCCACGCCGCCGCGAAACCAACGAAGAAGAGCCGUGUUCAGACUGCGGACGUCCAAUGCCAAAAACUACAAACACAACACAAAGUAUCAUGCUGGAGAUAACUUGGUAUACUGCAGAAAUUCCAUAAGGGUUCACAAAGUUUUUCGUCCCCCGAGAUGAACAGAAGAUAAACGGGUAGACGGACAGAUAGACGGCUGGAAAGAAAGAAAUCAAGAAAAAUAUUUCGAUAGAUGGGCGGACAGAAAAGACAGACAGCUGUCACCAUAGUAACCAGAUGGCGUGCGGCCACAGUGGCGUGCUCCACGUGAACCUCGCCACCUGAGCGAUGAUGAUGAAGAUGAUGACGAUGAUGCCAGCGGUGUCGGCGAGGCGGCACGCUGCCGUCCGGAUGCGGGUUCAAGUCCGAGGAGUCGGCGUUACGCAGCUCGUGCUCGCCUGAGGAUGACUCUGAGGAGACCGGCAGGUGGCGUUAGAGACAACAUUGAAACGGGCUCCACCUCCUCCAAGACAACAUGUUACACACGCGGCACCCUUUCACAAUAAACGGGAGGCAGACGCCACUUUCGCGCUCCACCCUGGCGACGGCGUCGUGGUCGCUAUAACGAGCAUGAACUCAGGCCUGUUCUGAUUGGACGGCUUUGCUGUCAUGGGAAGAACUGCCAGCCAAUCACAGGUGGAGUUGGAGACAAAUACUUGGACGUGCACACAGUCUUACGGACAGGAGUGAUGGGCACAGCAGUUCUUUUGAGUGUACUGAAUCAUUCGAAUCAGUUCAUUACAAAGAAUCAUUCAAUUGAAUCGUUCAGUUUUUUUCACAAAAUCAUUCAAGUCCUUCCUCAUCCAGUUAAUGAUCCACCCCUGAGGUUCACGUUCACUCAACACAUUCACCGGAGGGCUUUGCGUAGUUGGUGUCAUGUAUUGUAAACUCUGAAAGGCGGGGAGAUUGAUAUAUUAAAAAAAAAAAAAAAAGAUCACCGACCAAUCUCUCUCUCAGCAAGCUCUCAAACAGUCGUGAACGUGUGCAGCGAGCUCAGCUAGCGACCAUCCUUCCGCGUCCCCUGACGUCCAGCUAGGCUCUCGCCAGCCGGCGUGACUUUUCUGCAUUCCACCGCUGUGGACAGCAGCCGCCGCCAGCCGGGCUUUCUGCUCACUCAUCUGACUGUUAUUGCUAUCGGAUUAGUGGAAAGCAUCUUUGAGUGUCUUGAUAAGCGCUAUAGAAGUUGAAUGUAUUA